UUCACCCAUUCUAUACUUACUUUCAGCUCUCAAUCGAAUAUGUGAAUAAGAGGAGUAUCUACUCUGUGAAAAACGGAAACCCAAAGUUCGUCAUUGAUUCGUGUCCGACGAAGAUAUUCGCCUGUGGCUUCGCACACCUAUGAAGUCCGCUCGCCGUCUCGUCCUGGAGCUCCUCGUCCACUAUGGAGGCCCAAAGGAUCUGCACCUAAGUGGACUGUGACAGCCACUGGCUGUCCAUCUGCAAGCCAUAGCCAUGAUAUCGCUGCUGUGUCGCUGAGUCGACAAUGUGGCGUCCCAUCCACUGCAGCAGGGACCAGUGAUCGACGGCGGAAUUGUUGGUUCACGCCCACAGGAAAUAAUAUCAGCAACCCCUUUUUCAUUUGCCGCCGAAUCAAACGCUGGGAUUUAGCAUCGAGACGCAGGACUUAUGUACCCAACGCUUUGCCACAAGCCUGAUACGACCAUCCGACGGAGACCUAUCCAAGCAUUAUCGAGGCGUAUUCGAGACAGACUGAGUCCUUUUCCAGACAGAGAGAAUCCUAUCCCAGCAAGACAGAAGCACACCCCUUGCAAGAUCCGAAGCAAGCCAUCGACUUUGCCAUCGACAACAAGGACUUUGACUAUGGUAACCAAGGGAGGAGCUACUCGGUCUGCUGGACUCUAGAUAGAUCUCGUUGUUGUUAAGGUUAAGGAUAUGAAAUUCCAUUCACUUAGAUAGUAGAUACAAAUUGUUUCCGCUUGUUCAUUUAUUUAUA
rnacentral:sRNA from 1 species